UCUUUCUCUUUCUUUUUUUAUUUUUUACAUCCCGCAAAUCCAAUUCUCAUUCCCGCAAAACUGUAAAACCGUUCUCAUCACUUUCCCCAGUUCUAUUCUCCCUCUCUUCUUCUCAGGUCACCAUCUAUCCUUGGUCUCAAUCCCCAUCCUCGUUGACCUAGUCUCAGCUCUUUGUCAGUUUUUCUAGCCUCUACCCUCAACCUCCAGCCUUGACAUCCCCGACUCCAGUCUCGUUGCCUCUUCCUUGCCGGCCCGUCGCGUCCUGUCAUCUCUUCCUUGUUGGUCUUUUGCGUCCUUAUCGCCUCCUCCUCGUCAGUUUCUGUCUCUGAUCAAUAGAUCUUAGUUUCAGAUGGAGAUACUUCAUGUAAUAACAUUUAUUUUGGGUUCUUGAUUUAUGAUUUUGGUUUUUGGCUUUCAAUUCUUGGUUUAUUAUGAUGUUUUUCUAUUUUUGAGUUUAUUCUGAUGGGUUUAUUAUGAGUUUCUAUAAGCCAAACCCUAGCCGCCUAGGGCUUUCACUUUUUGGCUCUUUGCCCUUCGAAGAUCAACUCUGUCUAUUCAAGCACAUUGAUGUGUCGAUUCAAGACGUAAUUGUGUUCUGCUCUGUUCCAUUCUGCUUCUGCUAAUUACUUGCUGGAAGCUUUGGAGGCUCACAAUUGGGCCAGCAAAGGGAAAUACACUAUUGGACUUGGACAAGAUUGCUUGGAAUUCUGUCCUGAGGUUGAAGAUGUUAUCUCUAUGAGCUUGACAACUGUAUCCUCGCUUCUUCAAAAGUAUAAGAUUGAUACGAAACAAAUUGGAUGCAUGGAAGUUGGUAGUGAAACUGUCAGUGAUAAAAGCAAAUCCAUUAUGAACCUUCCUUAUGCAACUCUUUGAGGAACUACUAGUAACAACCAAAUUGGCAAUGCUAUACUAUAUUUGAUUAAAUUGGUUUCAUUUUUUCAUCAAUCCUUUGAUCUCAAUGUAAACUUUAUGACUAAUUUUGUGAGAAUGGCAUAGCAGAAGAUUGUUUUAAAAUAGAUGUAUUUAAUUAGCUUGUUUGGUAUUAUGAAUGUUCGAAUCUGUUCUGGCUUC